rnacentral:rRNA from 1 species
AGUGAACGCUGGCGGUAGGCCUAACACAUGCAAGUCGAACGGCAGCACAGUAAGAGCUUGCUCUUACGGGUGGCGAGUGGCGGACGGGUGAGGAAUACAUCGGAAUCUACUUUUUCGUGGGGGGUAACGUAGGGAAACUUACGCUAAUACCGCAUACGACCUACGGGUGAAAGCAGGGGAUCUUCGGACCUUGCGCGAUUGAAUGAGCCGAUGUCGGAUUAGCUAGUUGGCGGGGUAAAGGCCCACCAAGGCGACGAUCCGUAGCUGGUCUGAGAGGAUGAUCAGCCACCCUGGAACUGAGACACGGUCCAGACUCCUACGGGAGGCAGCAGUGGGGAAUAUUGGACAAUGGGCGCAAGCCUGAUCCAGCCAUACCGCGUGGGUGAAGAAGGCCUUCGGGUUGUAAAGCCCUUUUGUUGGGAAAGAAAAGCAGCAGGUUAAUACCCCGCUGUUCUGACGGUACCCAAAGAAUAAGCACCGGCUAACUUCG